CGGUAACAGGAAGCAGCUUGCUGUUUCGCUGACGAGUGGCGGACGGGUGAGUAAUGUCUGGGAAACUGCCUGAUGGAGGGGGAUAACUACUGGAAACGGUAGCUAAUACCGCAUAACGUCGAAAGACCAAAGAGGGGGACCUUCGGGCCUCUUGCCAUCGGAUGUGCCCAGAUGGGAUUAGCUUGUUGGUGGGGUAACGGCUCACCAAGGCGACGAUCCCUAGCUGGUCUGAGAGGAUGACCAGCCACACUGGAACUGAGACACGGUCCAGACUCCUACGGGAGGCAGCAGUGGGGAAUAUUGCACAAUGGGCGCAAGCCUGAUGCAGCCAUGCCGCGUGUAUGAAGAAGGCCUUCGGGUUGUAAAGUACUUUCAGCGGGGAGGAAGGGAGUAAAGUUAAUACCUUUGCUCAUUGACGUUACCCGCAGAAGAAGCACCGGCUAACUCCGUGCCAGCAGCCGCGGUAAUACGGAGGGUGCAAGCGUUAAUCGGAAUUACUGGGCGUAAAGCGCACGCAGGCGGUUUGUUAAGUCAGAUGUGAAAUCCCCGGGCUCAACCUGGGAACUGCAUCUGAUACUGGCAAGCUUGAGUCUCGUAGAGGGGGGUAGAAUUCCAGGUGUAGCGGUGAAAUGCGUAGAGAUCUGGAGGAAUACCGGUGGCGAAGGCGGCCCCCUGGACGAAGACUGACGCUCAGGUGCGAAAGCGUGGGGGAGCAAACAGGAUUAGAUACCCUGGUAGUCCACGCCGUAAACGAUGUCGACUUGGAGGUUGUGCCCUUGAGGCGUGCUUCCGGAGCUAACGCGUUAAGUCGACCGCCUGGGGAGUACGGCCGCAAGG
rnacentral:rRNA from 1 species